rnacentral:siRNA from 1 species
AAAGUGUGGAUUACAAAGCUUAU